GAUGAACGCUGGCGGCGUGCCUAAUACAUGCCAGUCGAGCGAACAGACGAGGAGCUUGCUCCUCUGAUGUUAGCGGCGGACGGGUGAGUAACACGUGGAUAACCUACCUAUAAGACUGGGAUAACUUCGGGAAACCGGAGCUAAUACCGGAUAACAUGUUGAACCGCAUGGUUCAACAGUGAAAGAGGGCUUUCUGGCACCUAUUAGUUGGUCCCGCGCCGCAUUAGCUAGUUGGUAAGGUAACGGCUUACCAAGGCAACGAUGCGUAGCCGACCUGAGAGGGUGAUCGGCCACACUGGAACUGAGACACGGUCCAGACUCCUACGGGAGGCAGCAGUAGGGAAUCUUCCGCAAUGGGCGAAAGCCUGACGGAGCAACGCCGCGUGAGUGAAGAAGGUCUUCGGAUCGUAAAACUCUGUUAUUAGGGAAGAACAAAUGUGUAAGUAACUAUGCACGUCUUGACGGUACCUAAUCAGAAAGCCACGGCUAACUACGUG
rnacentral:rRNA from 1 species